rnacentral:rRNA from 1 species
UACGGAGGGAGCUAGCGUUAUUCGGAAUUACUGGGCGUAAAGCGUACGUAGGCGGCUUUGCAAGUUAGAGGUGAAAGCCUGGAGCUCAACUCCAGAACUGCCUUUAAAACUGCAUCGCUUGAAUCCAGGAGAGGUGAGUGGAAUUCCGAGUGUAGAGGUGAAAUGCGUAGAGAUCGGCAGGAACACCCAGGGGGAAACCAGUCGACUGGGCAUCUACUGACGCUGAGGUGCGAGAGCGUGGGGAGCGAACCGG